UAAAAAUCAUCAACACUAAGGGCGUGUUUGAUUUAGUAAAAGUUUUAAAAUUAAAAUGUUAAACAAGGGUUUUUAGUGUUGAUGAUUUUUAUAAAAAACUGAUGUGAUUUCUCUUUUGCAUGAAAUACUUCAGAGAAUUAGAUUCUAACUUUUCAUUACCUAUCAAUUUUUCGCAAAAAUCCUAAGCUAAUUUCAUUGUAACCCUUAUCAAAAAUAUUCCGACAGUUGGCAUUCAUCAACAUUCAAAUAUCAAAAGUCAUCAUGUUUGAGGAUAUUCAGACAUUGGUGAUCCUCUGAUUGAAUGCAUCCACUAUGGAGCGCUCAUGUGGUAUCAAGAUAGGACAAACAAACAUAUACAUACUUCAAUGUCUAAGUACCAAAAGUAAGUAUAUUACUUGUGAUUUUUUACAUUCUUUUAUUUGUGUGUAUUAGUGAUAUAAAUUUGUACAUUUGAUUUUGAACAUAAUAUUAAUCUUGUAAACUGUGUUGAUGAGAACAAUUUAAAUUUAUACAUUUGAUUUUGAAAACAAGGUAAAUCUUGUAUUAUGUGUCGAUGAGAACAAUGUUAAUUUGUGUAUUUAAAAUGAUCUGAUUCUA